AAUAUGGCAAGAAUGAGGAGGCAAUUAGAUGUGUGAAGGGAUGUUGAAAUCCUUCAUGACUUUUAACUUCUGAAGCUUAUUGAUAUUCUGACUUGCCCAUU